rnacentral:rRNA from 1 species
UACGUAGGCAGCAAGCGUUGUUCGGAGUUACUGGGCGUAAAGGGCGCGUAGGCGGGUGAUCAAGUCCGGGGUGAAAUCCUUCAGCUCAACUGGAGAAUAGCCUUGGAUACUGGUCGCCUCGAGGGAGGUAGGGGCGGGCGGAACUUCCGGUGGAGCGGUGAAAUGCGUAGAUAUCGGAAGGAACGCCGGUGGCGAAAGCGGCCCGCUGGACCUCUUCUGACGCUGAGGCGCGAAAAGCCAGGGGGAGCGAACGGG